rnacentral:rRNA from 1 species
CCGGCAGCACGGGUGCGUAACGCGUAUGCAAUCUACCUUUCACAAAGGGAUAGCCCAGAGAAAUUUGGAUUAAUACCUUAUAGUAUAUCGAGUUGGCAUCAACAUGAUAUUAAAGAUUUAUCGGUGAAAGAUGAGCAUGCGUCCCAUUAGCUAGUUGGUAUGGUAACGGCAUACCAAGGCAACGAUGGGUAGGGGUCCUGAGAGGGAGAUCCCCCACACUGGUACUGAGACACGGACCAGACUCCUACGGGAGGCAGCAGUGAGGAAUAUUGGACAAUGGGCGCAAGCCUGAUCCAGCCAUGCCGCGUGCAGGAUGACGGUCCUAUGGAUUGUAAACUGCUUUUAUACAGGAAGAAACACCUCUACGUGUAGAGACUUGACGGUACUGUAAGAAUAAGGAUCGGCUAACUCCGUGCCAGCAGCCGCGGUAAUACGGAGGAUCCAAGCGUUAUCCGGAAUCAUUGGGUUUAAAGGGUCCGUAGGCGGUCAGAUAAGUCAGUGGUGAAAGCCCAUCGCUCAACGGUGGAACGGCCAUUGAUACUGUCUGACUUGAAUUAUUAGGAAGUAACUAGAAUAUGUAGUGUAGCGGUGAAAUGCUUAGAGAUUACAUGGAAUACCAAUUGCGAAGGCAGGUUACUACUAAUAUAUUGACGCUGAUGGACGAAAGCGUGGGUAGCGAACAGGAUUAGAUACCCUGGUAGUCCACGCCGUAAACGAUGGAUACUAGCUGUUGGGAGCAAUUUCAGUGGCUAAGCGAAAGUGAUAAGUAUCCCACCUGGGGAGUACGAACGCAAGUUUGAAACUCAAAGGAAUUGACGGGGGCCCGCACAAGCGGUGGAGCAUGUGGUUUAAUUCGAUGAUACGCGAGGAACCUUACCAAGGCUUAAAUGUAGUUUGACCGUUUGGAAACAGAAUUUUCGCAAGACAAAUU